GCGUCAGUGGUCUAGUGGUAGAAUACGUCCCUGCCACGGACGAGACCCGGGUUCGAUUCCCGGCUGACGCA
rnacentral:tRNA from 2 species